GAGGGUAGAGCUCAGUGGUAGAGCACGUGCCUAGCAAACCCAAGGUUUGGGUUCAGUCCCCAGUACCUCCA
rnacentral:tRNA from 1 species